UCUCCGUUGGUGAACCAGCGGGGGGAUCAUUACCGAGUGCAAACUCAUAACCCUUUGUGAACCUAUAUCUGUUGCUUCGGCGGCUCGCUCUCGGGCGAGCCCGCCGGUAAUAUCAGUAUCUCUGUUUGAACCCGACGAUACUUCUGGGUGUUCUUAGCGAACAGUUAAAACUUUUAACAACGGAUCUCUUGGCUCUA
rnacentral:misc_RNA from 1 species